UACGUAGGGUGCAAGCGUUGUCCGGAAUUAUUGGGCGUAAAGGGCUCGUAGGCGGUCCAUCGCGUCGGGAGUGAAAAGCUGGGGCUUAACCCCAGUCCUGCUUCCGAUACGGGUGGACUAGAGGUAUGCAGGGGAGAACGGAAUUCCUGGUGUAGCGGUGAAAUGCGCAGAUAUCAGGAGGAACACCGGUGGCGAAGGCGGCGUUCUGGACUGCAACUGACACUGAGGAACGAAAGCCAGGGGAGCAAACGGG
rnacentral:rRNA from 1 species